CUUGACCACAAAUAUCCUCUCUCUCUGUCUCUCAUUCGUUCUUUCUCGUAACCUCGAGACGGCUACAAACCCUUUCUUCCAAAUCCCCGACCCAAAACCAAAAGCCCUCGAAGGGGGCCUGCCAAACUCGCGGUUUCACAGGUUGAGAGAGGAACCAGGAAGCGAGAGAGCGAUGGAUUCGGAUCAGGGGAAGCUAUUCAUAGGUGGGAUUUCGUGGGAGACCACGGAGGAGAAGCUGAAGGAGUACUUCGACAACUACGGGGACGUUUUGCAGACAGUGGUGAUGAGGGAAAAAGCCACCGGGAGGCCCAGAGGAUUCGGAUUCGUGGUCUUUGCAGAUCCUUCCAUUCUUGAUAGGGUUCUCCAGGACACCCACACCAUUGAUGGCAGAACGGUUGAGGCUAAGAGGGCCUUAUCAAGAGAGGAGCAGCAAACUUCUGCCAAAGCUGGAAAUGUUAAUCCUGCUCGGAACUAUGGGGGUGGUGGAAGUUUCAGAACCAAGAAGAUAUUCGUUGGAGGAUUGCCUCCCACUUUAAGUGAAGAAGGCUUCCGUCAGUAUUUUGAGGCUUAUGGAAAUGUAACCGAUGUAGUAGUCAUGUAUGACCAGAAUACUGGACGACCUCGCGGGUUUGGGUUUAUUACCUUUGACGCUGAAGAAGCUGUUGAUAAAGUUUUACACAAAAACUUUCACGAUUUGAAUGGUAAGCAAGUGGAAGUAAAGCGGGCUCUUCCUAAAGAUGCAAAUCCUGGUGGGGGUAACCGUUCUAUGGGUGGUGGGGCGGGGGUUGGUGGUGCAGUUGGUAGUGGUUAUCAGAGCUAUGGGGCAUCUGGUGGCAACCCAAAUACAUAUGAUGGUCGAAUGGAUUCCAAUAGGUACAUGCAGCCACAGAGUACUGGAGGUAGUUUUACUCCCUAUGGUUCCUCUGGGUAUAGUGCACCUGGCUAUGGGUAUGGUCCUGCCAGUAAUGGCAUUAAUUAUGGUGGUUAUGGUAGUUAUGGUGGUGCCAAUACUGGGUAUGGUGGACCUGCUGGUGCAGCAUAUGGAAACCCAAAUGUCCCUAGUGCUGGUUAUGGUAGUGUUCCACCUGGUGCUCCUAGAAGUUCAUGGAGCACUCAAGCUCCGUCUGGAUAUGGUGCCAUGGGUUAUGGGAGUACUGCUGCUUGGGGUGCUCCAAGUGGCAGCACUGGUACUGCUAGUGGUGGCCCAGGGUCAGCACCUGCAGGGCAGUCGCCCAGUGGAGCCACUGGGUAUGGGAAUCAAGGUUAUGGCUAUGGUGGGUAUGGUGGAACUGAUGGGUCUUAUGGGAAUCCUGGUGGGUAUGGUGCAGUUGGAGGGCGUUCUGGGAGUGUCCCAAAUAAUAAUGCUGGUGGUCCAGGUGGGGCAGAACUACAAGGUGGUGGUGGUGGCUACAUAGGAAGUGGCUAUGGUGAUGCAAACGGAAAUCAGGGGUAUGGAAAUGCAGCAUGGAGAUCUGAACAAUCUCAAACUUCUGGAAAUUAUGGUGCUCAGGUGAAUGGUCCUCAUGCUGCGCAGGUUGGCUAUGGUGGUGGGUAUGGGAGUACUCAGGCCCGACCUCAACAACAGUAAUUAUGAUGGCUACAAGUCCAACUGGAUCUUGAUCUUUGUUUCUUGACCACGAGGGUCAAAAUUGUUUUCCGUGCCAAGCAGCAGGAGUAGCACAAGUUGAAUGUCAAUACGCUUUGGGACCGGAGAGAUGCACGAGGUCUAAAGUGGAGAGAAAGUGUCCACUCAUGGCUGAACACGAGCUUCGUCGUGGGGGCGGGGGGAAGUGUUCAGCGUGGAAUGGAAUUUGAGGACUUUGAUCAGUUGAAAUUACAGAUUUACCUGGGCAGGUCAUUCUCCAGCCUGGUCAUGCCAACACUCAAAUUUUGCUGAUUCCAGGCAUUUCAAGUGAUAAACUUCCUGAUCUUCACUCAGGUGUGGUGGACUGGUGGAUUUUGUGUGGUGAACAGCUUACGAUUAUUCACCAAGUCUUGGUAAUUAAUAUAGUUUACAAGAAACAUACACUUGGAAACUUUUACGUCUUUUUGAUUGUGGUUUUAGCAAGAGGCUGUGGUAAUUCUUUCCCUUACUCUUGAGAGGGAAAAAGCCUCAAGAAGAGAUUCUACACCAAAUCAAUUGGGAGGUUUGUACUCGGGUUGUGGGGGAAUUGCAAGGAUCGGUUUAAAGCUUACGAUGUCAAUGAGAAGAUUUGUCUUAAUUUGGGGCAUUCCUUCUCCCAUCUUGCUGUAAUGGAUGUUUGGAGUGCUGGUUUGGUUUCUGGAGGCUCUGGCUAGCUACGUGGGUUUUGUGUUGGAGCUGCUGGUUGACUGUUUGGGUUGGGUGUAUAUGCUGCUGUAGUUGAGUGAUUUUUUUUUUUUGGUUGUAUUUCUUUGGCUUUCCCAGAAGAUUGGGAAGUGCUUUUGAUUGUUGUUUUGUGUUAGUUACUUUGUAACCAGUGAGGUUUGCUUGCUAGAGAGACAUAAAGAAAUAUACCUGAUAAUUUAGAA